ensembl:lncRNA
UUUUGUGUGUGAAAGUUUAAGUCCUGCUCAAGCCAGGCUUGUACAGAAGCACAGGCUCAGGAUCGAAAGGGGAAGAUCAUGGAGGAAGACACGGGGUUGAACGGAAGUCACUGUGCCGUGUACUCCAUGAGAACAAAACCCGAUGUCAUGCGGGACUCAGUUCCGCAGGAAACAGACGGGUGUGUGCAGAGCUGUGGCAGCUACUAGGAAGCCACCUGCCUCAGAUUCUGGGGACCUGCAACAGCAAUGGUGAGAAGGAGGUCCCUGGUGUGUCGCCCUGUUGUAGUAUUCUAACAUCGAGGACAACAGAAAGUAAUCCCAGCCAAACCAGCGCAUUUGGGAAAAUAGAACGCAAUGUCACGGCGGUUUGGGCCUCCUGACUUUCUGGGUCAGUGGGAAGGUAUUGUUCCUGCUGCACUAUGGUCUGCUGACUGUAGAAGGGGGAGCAUCGGUGCUGGACACCAGGUGCCAGUGGCCAUUACAUUUCCAAAGCUCAGAAGCAGUGGUGGCUCAGGCAUCUGCAGAGACGUGGAUGGACUUAGACACUGUCAUGCAGAAUGAAGGAAGUCAGGAAGACAGAAACAAAUUCGUAUAUCAAUGCAUACAUAUGGAAACUAAAAAAAUGGUAUAGAUGAACCUAUCUGCAAAGCAGAAAUAGAGACACGGAGAGCAAACGAAUGGACAACAACAGGGGAGGGUGGGACGAACUGGGAGACUGGGACUGACACAUACUGGAUGUCGUUCAGUCGCUCAGUCGUGUCCGACUCUUCGAGACCCCAUGAACCGCAGCACGCCAGGCCUCCCUGUCCAUCACCAACUCCCGGAGUCCACCCAAACUCAUGUCCAUUGACUCGGUGAUGCCAUCCAGCCAUCUCAUCCUCUGUCAUCCCCUUCUCCUCCUGCCUUCAAUCUUUCCCAGCAUCAGGGUCUUGUCCAGUGAGUCAGCUCUUCGCAUCAGGUGACCAAAGUAUUAGAGCUUCAGCUUCAGCAUCAGUCCUUCCAAUGAACACCCAGGACUGAUCUCCUUUAGGAUGGACUGGUUGGAUCUCCUUGCAGUCCAAGGGACUCUCAAGAGUCUUCUCCAGCACCACAGUUCAAAAGCAUCAAUUCUUCAGCCUUCAGUCUUUUGACAAAAUGUGGUCCACUGGAGAAGGGAUUGGCAAACCAUUUCAGUAUUCUUGCCUUGCGAAUGCCUUAAACACUAUGAAAAGGCAAAGGGAUAUGACGCUACAGACACUAUGCAGAAAACAGAUAACUAAUGAGAACAUGCGGUAUAGUACAGGGAACUCUCCUCAACACUUUGUGGCGAUCUCCAUCGGAAGGACACCCAAAAGAGAGGGCAGAUAUAGGGAAUAUAUGUACACAUAUAUCAGUAGCUAAUUCACUUCACUGAACAGCAGAAACUAACACAAUAUUGUAAAGCAACUGUACUCCAAUUUAAAAAAGAAAAAGUCGAACUUGCUGCUGCUGCUGCUAAGUCGCUUCAGUCGUGUCUGACUCUGUGCGACCCCAUAGACAGCAGCCCACCAGGCUCCCCCGUCCCUGGGAUUCUCCAGGCAAGAACACUGGAGUGGGUUGCCAUUGCCUUCUCCAAUGCAUGAAAGUGAAAAGUGAAAGUGAAGUCGCUCAGUCGUGUCUGACUCUUCGCAACCCCAUGGACUGCAGCCCACCAGGCUCCCCCAUCCCUGGGAUUCUCCAGGCAAGAACACUGGAGUGGGUUGCCAUUGCCUUCUCCAAUGCAUGAAAGUGAAAAGUGAAAGGGAAGUCACUCAGUCAUGUCUGACUCUUCGUGACCCUAUGGACUGCAGCCCACCAGGCUCCUCCAUCCAUGGGAUUUUCCAGGCAAGAGUACUGGAGUAGGGUGCCAUCGCCUUAGGACUCACCAAAAGUUUCGCUGAACAGCCUGCCCAGUGUGAUUCCCGCGGAUGUCCCCUGUGUGGGUAUUAGUGGCUCCCGUUGGGCUCAUCCUGUCCUUCAGGUGACUCUAUCCGAGCGAGGCUUGCAGACCAUGGUGUUUGAGCAGGUGGCCACCAGCCUGGUUCUACUCUUCCUGGGCUGGACCAAGUCAGUUAUGACAUUGUAAUGGACCCUUGGACAGCAAGGGGAUCAAACCAGUCCGUCCUAAAGGAAAUCAACCCUGAAUAUUCACUGGAAGGACUGAUGCUGAAGCUGAAGCUCCAAUAGUUGGGCCACCUGAUGCGAAGAUCCAGCUCAUUGGAAAAGGCCCUGAUGCUGGGAAAGAUUGAAGGCAAGAGGAGAAGGGGGCAACAGAGGAUGAGAUGGUUGGAUGGCAUCAGUGACUCAGUGGACAUGAGUCUGAGCAAACUCUGGGAGGUAGUGAAGGACAGGGAAGCUUGGCGUGCUGCAGUUCAUGGGGUGGCAAGGAGUCGGGGAUGACUUAGCGGCUGAACAACUUAACAUUGUAGGGGAAAGAGAGUACAACAAAAGGGUCUGCUAGUACAAUCUGACAUUCAAAAUCCUUGAUAUCCAUUACUUAUCAGUCGCUUCAGUGCCCCCAGCAGCAGGGCUUUGUCAUCCUGGCGCAUCUUGGCUCAGUAUCAGCUCCGACUAAUAAACAGUAACUGCUGUUAACCAGAACAGUGAAAGAGUUUUCAUAAUAUAAAAACUGGAUUUUGUGAUUCAAAACUUGUAUUAUUUCCUUUGAGCAUCAGUAGUUAUAUUUGGUACUUUUUUUUUCUCUAGAAUUAGGCACUGCUCCCUCAAAGGG